CCCAUGAGGGCAGGGAAUUUCCAAAGAACUAGAGAACAGGGAAGUAGGUGUCUCUGGAUAAGGGUCAUGAUUAAUGACCAAACUCACCAAGUGUAUAAAAAAAAGGUGCUGUUCGACAGGUGAUGGCGGGCUCCAUCACGGGUGGCGCCCGAACAGGGACCUGAAUACGGGGGAUCAAGUGAAGGACACCGCGGAUCGUGAGCUCGGAUAAGUAAAUCAAGGGCGGUGAAUACACUCGGGAGUAACAAGAUGGGAAUUGGUAGUAGCCGGCUGCUUUUUGUACAUAUGCUUAAAAUAUGCUUCGGUCUCGUGGAGCAAAGUGCUACUACAGAUGUUUAUGCAUUCUUUGAUGAGGAUGGCUGGAAGUAUUCAUGGUCCACAAUUACAUGCUACACCGCCUAGGCCCCUGGUGUAAUCCCCUGCAGAGGCUGGUAGUCAAUGAUGGGUAAGAGGAGUACAGGAAAUCACCAACCUAAGACAGAGCAAGAGUACUGUGACGCUCUUGACUCGAUGACCGUUAUUUUAAAAUUUGUUCUUAAGAGUUGUGCAGAAGACACUGAAUCACCCCGCUGCAGACAGGCAGCCACCUGAUUCCACAAUACAAAGACGCAGAGGACACCAGACCACCAGACCAAGUUCCAGGAAAAGGAGUCUACAGGAGUCUGCAGGAGUAAUGAGUCUACAGGAGUCUACAGGAGUAGUGACCAGAUGGCUGAAGUACGGAAAACAUCCAGAGUAUGCACAUAUCUGCUAUCAUCUCCUGUUAAUACAAAUUACAAUAAGAUUUCCUGUGACAUUAUGGCUCCCCAAUAGUAACCCUUUCUUUAGAGAGUAAUCAAACCUAUGUAAAAUUUUAUAAGAUUGCCUGAAAAAAGAUCAAGGAGAAAGAAUUCUGCUAUGUGUUGCCUCCUAAAAGGUAGAAGAGAAACAGUAAAAUGGAAUGGAAAAACCAAACUAUUCCGGUGGAAUUUAUUCUGAAGGGGCUUUCUGGUUACCCAAGGCUUGAGCUUCUCUUUUUUGGCUCAUUUUAAUAAUGUAUGUGGUCAUCCUUCUGGGCAAUGGCA
rnacentral:lncRNA from 1 species